rnacentral:lncRNA from 1 species
UUUGCUUGACCAUGUCAGUAUCUUGGGCGUUGGCAUGUCCUAAUAUUGAGAAGAACUCCCACUUUGCCCAUAUACUUCCACACACCAUUACCAAAGUAAUUAUGGAGAUAAUAACCUCUUUCUUUUUCGUUGGACUUGUUAAAACUAGAUACAACCACACUCACUUUUCAAACCUCUGAAAUCUAAAGAAAUCUUCAAAGAAAAGUUAAAUAUC